rnacentral:rRNA from 1 species
CCUACGGGUGGCUGCAGUGGGGAAUAUUGGACAAUGGGGGCAACCCUGAUCCAGCCAUGCCGCGUGUGUGAAGAAGGCCCUCGGGUUGUAAAGCACUUUCAGUGAGGAAGAACGCCUGGUGGUUAAUACCCAUCAGGAAAGACAUCACUCACAGAAGAAGCACCGGCUAACUCCGUGCCAGCAGCCGCGGUAAUACGGAGGGUGCGAGCGUUAAUCGGAAUUACUGGGCGUAAAGCGCGCGUAGGUGGCUUGAUAAGCCGGUUGUGAAAGCCCCGGGCUCAACCUGGGUACGGCAUCCGGAACUGUCAAGCUAGAGUGCAGGAGAGGAAGGUAGAAUUCCCGGUGUAGCGGUGAAAUGCGUAGAGAUCGGGAGGAAUACCAGUGGCGAAGGCGGCCUUCUGGACUGACACUGACACUGAGGUGCGAAAGCGUGGGUAGCAAACAGGAUUAGAUACCCUGGUAGUC